GGAGCCGUAGUCCAGGCGGGCGUCCCGUCCCCCCAUUCCCAGCCGCCUUCCGCCGAUUGCCCGCCCCCUCCGCUCCGCAGCGCCGCCCCGGAGCGCGACCCCCGACCCGGGUCCAAGAACCGCCCUCCCUCCAGCCGUGCGCUUCAUCGCGGGUCCGCGGCUCCCCCCGCGCCCUGUGGCCUGGGCUGUGCCUCCGGGGACACCUGUCCCCUCAGAGUCACUGAGGAGUGACCGUGUAAGGCAAACGCAGAAGGACUGCCACUGUAACUGACUCAGGCUCCUCUGAAUUCUCUACCCUUGGACCUGCAUCACCCAGUUGUUAGCCAGAACCCUCUUAAGUUUCCUUAGCCGGAAUCCCCUCGUCUCUACAUCAGAUCACCCUCCAUAUCUGACCAGGUACCUCAUUCCCCACGAUCACCGCCCCCCCCCCCCCCCGGAACCUCCGGUGCUAGCCCAUCGCCCUGGCUGCCUUCAGCGAGAAUCCUGUUCGGUCGGUUGAGCAAAGACUGACUAUCCAGUUAGUGAUUUUCCAUCCCCCGUCCCCGCCCCAACUUGCUCCUUGACUCUGAAUCCCCACUUGUCCAUGCUGUAUUUGCAAGUGACCCUGCUUCUAUACCGAGGCUUCUUUUCCCCUGUUGCAAAGUCCUGAAUAAAUCUCUUUUCACUGCUCUAA